GGCCCACCAAGGCGUCGACGGGUAGCUGGUCUGAGAGGAUGAUCAGCCACACUGGGACUGAGACACGGCCCAGACUCCUACGGGAGGCAGCAGUGGGGAAUCUUGCGCAAUGGGCGAAAGCCUGACGCAGCAACGCCGCGUGCAGGAUGAAGGCCUUCGGGCUGUAAACCGCUUUCAGCAGGAACGAAAAUGACGGUACCUGCAGAAGAAGGAGCGGCCAACUACGUGCCAGCAGCCGCGGUGACACGUAGGCUCCAAGCGUUGUCCGGAUUUAUUGGGCGUAAAGAGCUCGUAGGCGGUUUAGUAAGUCGGGUGUGAAAACUCUGGGCUUAACCCAGAGACGCCAUCCGAUACUGCUGUGACUUGAGUUCAGGAGGAGAGCGGGGAAUUCCUAGUGUAGCGGUGAAAUGCGCAGAUAUUAGGAGGAACACCGGUGGCGAAGGCGCCGCUCUGGACUGAAACUGACGCUGAGGAGCGAAAGCAUGGGUAGCAAACAGGAUUAGAUACCCUGGUAGUCCAUGCCGUAAACGGUGGGCACUAGGUGUGGGUUUCAACUAACGAAAUCCGCGCCGUCGCUAACGCAUUAAGUGCCCCGCCUGGGGAGUACGGUCGCAAGACUAAAACUCAAAGGAAUUGACGG
rnacentral:rRNA from 1 species